UACAGAGGUCCCAAGCGUUGUUCGGAUUCACUGGGCGUAAAGGGUGCGUAGGUGGCUGGGUAAGUUUGAUGUGAAAUCUCCGGGCUCAACCCGGAAACUGCAUUGAAUACUACCCGGCUUGAGGGUUGGAGGGGGGACUGGAAUUCUCGGUGUAGCAGUGAAAUGCGUAGAUAUCGAGAGGAACACCAGAGGCGAAGGCGAGUCCCUGGACAACUCCUGACACUGAGGCACGAAAGCUAGGGGAGCAAACAGG
rnacentral:rRNA from 1 species